GUUUGAUCCUGGCUCAGAUUGAACGCUGGCGGUAGGCUUAACACAUGCAAGUCGUGCGAGAAAGUAUCUUCGGAUAUGAGUAGAGCGGCGGACGGGUGAGUAACGCGUAGGAAUCUACCUAGUAGAAGGGGAUAGCCCGGGGAAACCCGGAUUAAUACCGUAUACCUCCUUCGGUAGAAAGAAGGCCUCUCUUUGAAGCUUUCGCUAUUAGAUGAGCCUGCGUAAGAUUAGCUUGUUGGUGAGGUAAAGGCUCACCAAGGCGACGAUCUUUAGCUGGUCUGAGAGGACGAUCAGCCACAUUG
rnacentral:rRNA from 1 species